GGUAACAAAACUUGGCUGCUGACACCAUAUCUGCGACCUCAGCAUGAAUACCAGCUAGCCUACAAUAGAGCUCACAAGAAAACACGGAGUAUUGUGGAGAGAGGAAUUGGCCAGUGGAAGCGAAGAUUUCAUGUUCUCCACAGUGAAAUUCGUGUAACUCCCCCAGGGAAAGUAUGUAAGAUUAUUUUUGUCUGCGCUAUGUUGCACAACAUAUGCAAAGACAGAAAUAUUCAAAUACUUUUGGAGGGUGGUGAAGAACAUGGCCAACCACAAGCAGAGGACAAAAUCCAGAUGGCUGCCGGAGAGGAAAAUGACGACAAUGGUGGUCAUGCCGAGCCGCUCCCUGCAGGUCAAGACCGUGAUGGAUUGCGGUACAGGGACGAGUUUGUCAGACGCUAUUUCAAUGUUGAACUGUGAGGAACUUCGAUGUACAAUCGUGCCAGAAAAAACUGUCUCCUCCUCAUCUACCAUGAAGACUGUUCCGUCUUCCGAGGCAGAGGGAAGCAGCACACUGGUGACUUCUGUGGCAGGGGCAGAGGGAGCAGGCACGCUGGAAAUCACCUCAGCAGCAGCAGCAAAUAAGGCGGGCAGAUCUUGGGUAG